CAACAGGGAUUGCCUCAGUAACGGCGAGUGAAGCGGCAACAGCUCAAAUUUGAAAUCUGGCCUCGGCCCGAGUUGUAAUUUGUAGAGGAAGCUUUUGGUGCGGCACCGACCGAGUCCCCUGGAACGGGGCGCCAUAGAGGGUGAGAGCCCCGUAUGGUUGGACGCCUAUCCUCUGUAAAGCUCCUUCGACGAGUCGAGUAGUUUGGGAAUGCUGCUCAAAAUGGGAGGUAAAUUUCUUCUAAAGCUAAAUACCGGCCAGAGACCGAUAGCGCACAAGUAGAGUGAUCGAAAGAUGAAAAGCACUUUGAAAAGAGGGUUAAAUAGCACGUGAAAUUGUUGAAAGGGAAGCGCUUGUGACCAGACUUGCGCCUCGCCGAUCAUCCGGGGUUCUCCCCGGUGCACUCGGCGGGGCUCAGGCCAGCAUCGGUUUCCGCGGGGGGACAAAGGCCCCGGGAACGUAGCUCCUCCGGGAGUGUUAUAGCCCGGGGCGUAAUGCCCUCGCGGGGACCGAGGACCGCGCUUCGGCAAGGAUGCUGGCGUAAUGGUCAUCAGCGACCCGUCUUGAAACACGGACCAAGGAGUCAAGGUUUUGCGCGAGUGUCUGGGUGUAAAACCCGCACGCGUAAUGAAAGUGAACGUAGGUGAGAGCUUCGGCGCAUCAUCGACCGAUCCUGAUGUAUUCGGACGGAUUUGAGUAGGAGCGUUAAGCCUUGGACCCGAAAGAUGGUGAACUAUGCUUGGAUAGGGUGAAGCCAGAGGAAACUCUGGUGGAGGCUCGCAGCGGUUCUGACGUGCAAAUCGAUCGUCAAAUCUGAGCAUGGGGGCGAAAGACUAAUCGA
rnacentral:rRNA from 1 species